UCCGAGUUGACCCCGGCAGUCUCCCACGAGUCCCCGGCAUAACCCGCUGGCAACGUAGGACAAGGGUUGCGCUCGUUGCGCCACUUAAGGCAACACCUCACGGCACGAGCUGACGACAGUCGUGCAGCACCUGUGCAGGCUCCCGAAGGAGCCCCGUGUUUCCACGGGUUUACCCUGCAUGUCAAGCCCUGGUAAGGUUCUUCGCGUUGCAUCGAAUUAAGCCACAUGCUCCGCCGCUUGUGCGGGUCCCCGUCAAUUCCUUUGAGUUUUAGCCUUGCGGCCGUACUCCCCAGGCGGGGUGCUUAAUGCGUUCGCGACGGCACGGAAGGGGUUGAUGCCUCCCACACCUAGCACCCAACGUUUACGGCUGGGACUAC
rnacentral:misc_RNA from 1 species